rnacentral:rRNA from 1 species
UCAGGACGAACGCUGGCGGCACGCUUAACACAUGCAAGUCGAACGGAGAUAUUUGGUUACUGAGAUAUCUUAGUGGCGGACGGGUGAGUGACACGUGAGCAACCUGCCUUUGAGAGAGGGAUAGCUUCUGGAAACGGAUGGUAAUACCUCAUGACAUACUUUUAUCGCAUGGUAGAAGUAUCAAAGAUUUAUCACUCAGAGAUGGGCUCGCGUCUGAUUAGCUAGUUGGUGAGGUAACGGCUCACCAAGGCGACGAUCAGUAGCCGGACUGAGAGGUUGAACGGCCACAUUGGGACUGAGACACGGCCCAGACUCCUACGGGAGGCAGCAGUGGGGAAUAUUGCACAAUGGGGGAAACCCUGAUGCAGCGAUGCCGCGUGGAGGAAGAAGGUUUUCGGAUUGUAAACUCCUGUCUUAAAGGACGAUAAUGACGGUACUUUAGGAGGAAGCUCCGGCUAACUACGUGCCAGCCGCGGC